UCACUUGUGAUUUGCAACACAUUACAAAGGCAUGCGGCCUAGAAAUGUCUUUGCAAUCUGGCAGACACAGCUUCCUUCAGUGGCUUCCUUUGGAAGUACCUCAGUCUCUUUGUCAUCUGCCAUCUUGGGAGGGAUUGCUGACAAAUUUGGCAUGCAGCUAUGGGAAGGACCGCAGGUAAGACUGAUGGGAGAUCCUAAGAGGCACACAUGGAGGUAUGGCUAUAGGUUCAUAGGCUAAAGGGCAGUUUUGUUUAUUCUUGUUGUGGUUUGAAAGUCAGCUUAUGUGUUUGAACACUUAAUCCCCCAUGUUUGUGCUAUUUUUGGAAGGUUCUGGAAGUUUUAGAAGAUGAGCCCUUGCUGCAGGAAGUGGGUCACCGGGUGGGUUGGGGUAGUUUGAGGUUUUAUGUCCUGGCCCCAUUCAUUUCCUGUUCCUUUUCUAAAUUCUGUUUCACCAAGCUGUGAGGAAGUGAGGAGUCUCAGCCAUACACUCUUGUUCAUCAUGAAGCCUGCUGUGAUACCUUACCUUCCACAGCAGACAACACUCCCUCAAACUGUGAGUCCAGGU
rnacentral:lncRNA from 1 species